rnacentral:rRNA from 1 species
GACGAACGCUGGCGGCGUGCUUAACACAUGCAAGUCGAACGAGGCCCUCCCUUCGGGGAGGUGUCCUAGUGGCGAACGGGUGAGUAACACGUGAGGAACCGGCCCCGAAGACCGGGAUAACUCCGGGAAACCGGAGCUAAUACCGGAUGCCCUCAUUGGAUCGCAUGGUCCGGUGAGGAAAUGGAUUCCGCUCCGGGAUGGCCUCGCGGCCUAUCAGCUUGUUGGUGAGGUGACGGCUCACCAAGGCGACGACGGGUAGCUGGUCUGAGAGGAUGUCCAGCCACACUGGGACUGAGACACGGCCCAGACUCCUACGGGAGGCAGCAGUGGGGAAUUUUGGACAAUGGGGGCAACCCUGAUCCAGCAAUGCCGCGUGAGUGAAGAAGGCCUUCGGGUUGUAAAGCUCUUUUGUCAGGGAAGAAACGGUUCUGGAUAAUACCUGGGACUAAUGACGGUACCUGAAGAAUAAGCACCGGCUAACUACGUGCCAGCCGCCGCAGUAACAC